GGUUAAAAAGCUCGUAGUUGGAUUUCUGUUGAGGACGGCCGGUCCGCACUAUGUGCGUGUAUCUGGUUCGGCCUUGGCAUCCUCUUGAGGAACGUUCCUGCGCUUGAUUGCGUGGGGCGGUAUUCAAGACUUUUACUUUGAGGAAAUUAGAGUGUUCACGGCAGGCAAGCGCCUUGAAUACAUUAGCAUGGAAUAAUAAUAUAGGAUCUUGGUUCUAUUUGUUGGUUUCUAGGGCUAAGGUAAUGAUUAAUAGGGAUAAUUGGGGGCAUUUGUAUUAACGCGUCAGAGGUGGAAUUCUUGGAUUGCGUUACGACAAACUACUGCGAAAGCAUUUGCCAAGGAUGUUUUCAUUGAUCAAGAACGAAAGUAUGGGGAUCGAAGAUGAUUAGAUACCGUCGUAGUCUAUACCAUAAACUAUGCCGACUAGGGAUUGGAGGUCGUUCUUUUUAUGACUCCUUCAGCACCUUAUGAGAAAUCAAAGUCUUUGGGUUCCGGGGGGAGUAUAGUCGCAAGGCUGAAACUUAAAGGAAUUGACGGAAGGGCACCACCAGGAGCGGACCCUGCGGCCUUAAUCUGACUCACCACCGGGGAAACCUC
rnacentral:rRNA from 1 species